UGGACACUCUCAGGGUGGAGCCUGCUGGAGUCCGAUGGUUGAGACCAGGUCUGAGGAAGUAUUCCUGUCAACUCACAAUUGACACAAACACAGUUCACCCAAAGCUCCAACUGUCUAACAACAACAAGAAGAUGACAAAUGUUGAGGAGGAUCAAUCAUAUCCUGAUCAUCCAGACAGAUUUGAUUUUAGUCCUCAGCUGCUGUGUAGAAAUGGUCUGACUGGUCGCUGUUACUGGGAGGUUGAGUGGAGAGGAGACAUUUAUAUAUCAGUGAGUUACAGAACAAUCAAAAGGAAACGAAACAUUAAUGACUGUUGGUUUGGACACAAUGAUCAGUCCUGGGGUCUGAACUGUUCUGAUGAUGGUCCUCGUUCUCUCUGGCACAAUAACAUAAAAACAUCCUGCUCCUCCUCCUCCUCCUCCUCUGUCUCUAAAAGAGUAGCAGUGUAUGUGGACUGUCCUGCUGGCACUCUGUCCUUCUACAGAGUCUCCUCUGACACUCUGAUCCACCUCCACACCUUCAACUCCACAUUCACUCAAACUCUCUAUCCUGGGUUUACAGUCUUGUCUCCCUAUGCCACAGUGUCCCUGUGCUGAGUUGAGUGUAAAGAGUGUACUCCUGGUAGAGAAACACUCUGACUGUUGAACAGAUAGUUCAGUCUGUACAUGUCUGUCUCUUUCACUCACAAAAAUGUUUUCAGAU